GACGAACGCUGGCGGCGUGCUUAACACAUGCAAGUCGAACGGAAAGGCCCUGCUUUUGUGGGGUGCUCGAGUGGCGAACGGGUGAGUAACACGUGAGUAACCUGCCCUUGACUUUGGGAUAACUUCAGGAAACUGGGGCUAAUACCGGAUAGGAGCUCCUGCUGCAUGGUGGGGGUUGGAAAGUUUCGGCGGUUGGGGAUGGACUCGCGGCUUAUCAGCUUGUUGGUGGGGUAGUGGCUUACCAAGGCUUUGACGGGUAGCCGGCCUGAGAGGGUGACCGGCCACAUUGGGACUGAGAUACGGCCCAGACUCCUACGGGAGGCAGCAGUGGGGAAUAUUGCACAAUGGGCGGAAGCCUGAUGCAGCAACGCCGCGUGCGGGAUGACGGCCUUCGGGUUGUAAACCGCUUUCGCCUGUGACGAAGCGUGAGUGACGGUAAUGGGUAAAGAAGCACCGGCUAACUACGUGCCAGCAGCCGCGGUGAUACGUAGGGUGCGAGCGUUGUCCGGAUUUAUUGGGCGUAAAAGGCUCGUAGGUGGUUGAUCGCGUCGGAAGUGUAAUCUUGGGGCUUAAACCCUGAGCGUGCUUUCGAUACGGGUUGACUUGAGGAAGGUAGGGGAGAAUGGAAUUCCUGGUGGAGCGGUGGAAUGCGCAGAUAUCAGGAGGAACACCAGUGGCGAAGGCGGUUCUCUGGGCCUUUCCUGACGCUGAGGAGCGAAAGCGUGGGGAGCGAACAGGCUUAGAUACCCUGGUAGUCCACGCUGUAAACGGUGGGUACUAGGUGUGGGGUCCAUUCCACGGGUUCCGUGCCGUAGCUAACGCUUUAAGUACCCCGCCUGGGGAGUACGGCCGCAAGGCUAAAACUCAAAGGAAUUGACGGGGCCCCGCACAAGCGGCGGAGCAUGCGGAUUAAUUCGAUGCAACGCGUAGAACCUUACCUGGGUUUGACAUGGAUCGGGAGCGCUCAGAGAUGGGUGUGCCUCUUUUGGGGUCGGUUCACAGGUGGUGCAUGGCUGUCGUCAGCUCGUGUCGUGAGAUGUUGGGUUAAGUCCCGCAACGAGCGCAACCCUUGUUCACUGUUGCCAGCACGUUAUGGUGGGGACUCAGUGGAGACCGCCGGGGUCAACUCGGAGGAAGGUGGGGAUGGCGUCAAGUCAUCAUGCCCCUUAUGUCCAGGGCUUCACGCAUGCUACAAUGGCUGGUACAGAGAGUGGCGAGCCUGUGAGGGUGAGCGAAUCUCGGAAAGCCGGUCUCAGUUCGGAUUGGGGUCUGCAACUCGACCUCAUGAAGUCGGAGUCGCUAGUAAUCGCAGAUCAGCAACGCUGCGGUGAAUACGUUCCCGGG
rnacentral:rRNA from 1 species